rnacentral:tRNA from 1 species
UACAUUUUAGUAUACGGUGUAUUAAAGCUUUUGGUGCUUUAGGGGGUAGUUUGAUUCUGCCGAAUGUAG